UUGUGAACCUCGGGGCGUUCCGCGAGAGCGGUCCGUCCCAACCACACACCACUGUGAACAAACCCGUCGUCGGCCGUCGCCGUCGGCGAAACCUUUACACCUGUCGUACUACGUCCAGAAAGUAUAACAAAAGAGUA
rnacentral:misc_RNA from 1 species